rnacentral:rRNA from 1 species
AUUACUCCUACGGGAGGCAGCAGUGGGGAAUUUUGGACAAUGGGCGAAAGCCUGAUCCAGCCAUGCCGCGUGCGGGAAGAAGGCCUUCGGGUUGUAAACCGCUUUAGUCCGGGAAAAGGGGUGCGAGGAUAAUACCCUCGUGCUUUGAUGGUACUGGAAGAAUAAGCACCGGCUAACUACGUGCCAGCAGCCGCGGUAAUAAU